GAUGAACGCUGGCGGCGUGCCUAAUACAUGCAAGUCGAGCGGACGGACGAGAAGCUUGCUUCUCUGAUGUUAGCGGCGGACGGGUGAGUCACACGUGGAUAACCUACCUAUAUGACUGGGAUAACUUCGGGACUCCGUAUCUAACACCGGAUAAUCUUUUGAACCGCAUGGUUCAAGAAUGAAUGACGGUCUUGCGGUCACUUAUAGGUGUAUCCGCGGUGGGUUAGCUAGUUGGUAAGGUAACGGCUUACCAAGGCAACGAUGCAUAGCCGACCUGAGCGGGUGAUCGGCGACACUGGAACUGAAACGCGGUCCUGAGUCCUACGGGAGGCAGCGGUAGGGAAGCGAGCGAAAUGGGCGGAAGCCUGAAGGAGCAGCGCCGCGUGGAUGAUGAAGGGCUUCGGAUCGUAUAACUCUGUUAGGGUGGAAGAACAUAUGUGUAAGUAACUGAGCACAUCUUGACGGUACCCGAACAGAAAGCCACGGCUAACUACGUG
rnacentral:rRNA from 1 species